rnacentral:tRNA from 1 species
GGCGCCAUCGUCAAGUGGUCUAAGACACCGCCCUUUCACGGCGGGUUCACGGGUUCAAAUCCCGUUGGCGUCA